AAGCUCGUAGUUGAAUUUCGGGGUUAGUAGGUUGGUCAUGCCUCUGGUAUGUACUGGUCUCACUGAUUCCUCCUUCCUUAUGAACCGUAAUGCCAUUAAUUUGGUGUUGCGGGGAAUUUGGACUGUUACUUUGAGAAAAUUAGAGUGUUUAAAGCAAGCUAACGCUUGAAUACAUUAGCAUGGAAUAAUGAAAUAGGACGUUCGAUCUUAUUUUGUUGGUUUCUUAGGAUUGACGUAAUGAUUAAGUAGG
rnacentral:rRNA from 1 species